rnacentral:lncRNA from 1 species
AUCGCCUUUCUCAAGUGGCCCAUCAAGAGACACUAGCUUAUGCGCGUGACCCCGACCGCCCCGCCUUUGGGAUUUUUUUCCUCUGUUUGCCGAAAAGGAGAUUCCCUGUCGGAAUUUUACCGCUUUUCUACGAGAAAAAUGACGUAAAAAUUGAUUUUAAACAGCGGUUGACAUGCUUCGACGUACGGCAAUUGAAUACUUUGAAUUUUAUUGUCAGGAAUUGCGCCAAGCGCGCGACACUUCUUUACUAUUUCGGAUAGUGUCUGGAACGCACGAACAAAACGCCGCUAUUCGGAUAUAACGAUGGAUUAUUUUGGACCAAACCAACAUUUGUUAUUGAAGUAGACGUCCUGGGUGUGCAUUCUGACGAAGACAACAAAAGGACCUGAGCCCUAGGACCAUGCCUCAGGACUACCUGGUAUGAUGACUCCUUGCUGUCCCCAGUCCACCUGGCCGUGCUGCUGCUCCAGUUUCAACUGUUCUGCCUGCGGCUAUGGAACCCUGACCUGUUCACCGGACGUGCUUGUUGCACCCUCGACAACUACUAUGAUUAUUAUUAUUUGACCAUGCUGGUCAUUUAUGAACAUUUUAACAUUUUAACAUUUUGACCAUGUUCUGUUAUAAUAUCCACCCUGCACAGCCAGAAGAGGACUGGCCACCCCUCAUAGCCUGGUUUCUUCCUAGGUUUUUGGCCUUUCUAGGGAGUUUUUCCUAGGGAGUUUUUCCUAGCCACCGUGCUUCUUUCACAUGCUUUGCUUGCUGUUUGGGGUUUUAGGCUGGGUUUCUGUACAGCACUUUGAGAUAUCAGCUGAUGUACGAAGGGC